rnacentral:rRNA from 1 species
UACGUAGGGUGCGAGCGUUGCCCGGAUUUAUUGGGCGUAAAGGGCGCGUAGGCGGUCACGCACGUCCGUUGUGAAAUCGCUCGGCUCAACUGGGCGGGGUCAGCGGAUACGGCGUGGCUGGAGCAAGCUAGGGGGCAAUGGAAUUCCCGGUGUAGUGGUGGAAUGCGUAGAUAUCGGGGGGAACACCAGUGGCGAAGGCGGUUGCCUGGAGCUUUGCUGACGCUGAUGCGCGAAAGCGUGGGGAGCGAUCCGG